GCACGAGGUGUCCUCUCACCAGCAGCAGCUGCCAUCUCCUGAUUCAGGUUUGGAAUGCAGUGUAAGUUUUGCAAAUUUGUAAACAGUAGCUGAGAAGUUACACUAGACUACAUCGCUAUCAAGGACCAUCCUGGCAGCAGCCUUGUUUGUUCGCAGACUGCUUCUGCACUUUAAAGACUCUGAUGUCCGAAAACAGUGGCCUGCAUGUUUUUGGGAGUUUAGGUCUAUGCUGAGUUUUACAGGAUUACUCAAACCAACCUCAAAGAUAUCUUCUCUUUUUCGGAUGAAUACGCUAUCAAGUUUUAUGGAUCAUGUGGUGGGCGAUAUGGAGAGAUAAUAAGAACCGCCCUGGACCAACUGGACAAUCAA
rnacentral:lncRNA from 1 species